CGCUUGUCAGGCUUGCGCAGGGUCACGCGUCACGCGCCCAUUCAAAUGAGCGGGAACUUAGUGAGUCUUGAGGCGAUGUCGUGUUAAAAUCAGCUUUUUUGUGAACUUGAUCUGAUACAGGCAAGAUACGAGACGUCCUGUGAGUUCCCGGCAAUACAGAUAACUGCUGACAGACGCCAGCCAAUUUGCUGUCCCGCCGCACCAGAGCAAAGCGCUAGAAAUAUGGGCAGAGGAGUGACCCUUUGGCUGUGUCGCCCAUCCAUCCGAACCCGGUGGUGGGCUGGCCACCGUGGUAAUUGCCUGCGAAACAGUGUUUUGACAAGCCAGACGGGUGUAAGCCAUCAUUCUAGCAGCACGGUGAUGAGGUGUCACCUGGAGAGAGCUGUUGAGAGCCCACAUGUUUACAUGCAGCCAGUGUGGUUCCACUGAGACAGCAGUAAUCCAUUAAGAAGGGGGCUGAUCCUGCGAGGGGUUUGAUGAAGUUGAAGCUCCUCUGCCCCAUGCAGAAGGGCGUUUAGUGCUGCCGGCCCCACUGCUAGUGUGCAGGGAUAUAUCACCUGCGUACUCACUGUUUCAUCAUAGCUCUCCAUUCCUCUACUCUCCAAACAGUCUUCGGUGCUUUAGACUGGGUGUCCAGUGAAAAAAAAAUAUAUAAUAGAAAACAAUCUUUUAUAUGUUUCAAAAAGCUUAACUGAUUAUGUUUCUAUUCUGGUUUCUGUGGUUCUUAAAAACGUCUAAAUUUGGUCUAAAAAGGACUUAAAUCAGGGCAGAAAGUCUUA